GUGGGUACCCUGUGUUCUCACGCCAACUUUCAAUCGAUCUUUACUCAGUUCGUACUCUGGGUUAGCAAAGAUGGCAGAGAAAAACAACUCAAAGCCCCCACCAUCCCCACCCCCAGGGUUUAGAAAGGUGAAAAGAGAGUACUGGGAAGGUGUUGAUCCACACAAGAAGAGACCAGCUAUUAACAAGCACACUGGUGUUUUUGCCUAUCAUGCUAAUGACUGUAUGUGCAGCAUGGCUGGUUGGCCAUGUUACAGAAAYGGUGCGAUAUGGAGCUGUUGUGGACAGACAGAAAAGUACUGCAAGUGUACAGGAAAAAAGUGACAGGAUCUAAAGCACUGACUGAUCAAAAAUAUAAAAAUCUUCACAAAAUCCAUAAACCACUGGCCAGCACUAAAUGUUUGGUAUAAGGUUCACCAAUAGAUUCAUAGGAAAACUUUCAUUUAUACUGUGGUUUUGUGUUGGUCCUGGCUAAUUUAUACACUAGCAUCAAAUUUUGGGACACUAUUCACUCAAACACUUUCUUAUUCUUGAUUGCACGUUACAUCAUCAUGGCUUCUCAGGAAAUUGUUGGUGCCAUUAACAUAAGAUUUUUUUUAGCAUCCAUUGUUAAUGGGACCACAAUGGCCGCCAUGGUUUUGUCUUUUAACUCUUUUGGAAAUGCUUGCAAGCCAUCAAUAGUAAAAUUGCAGGAGCAAACAAAACAGUUUUUUAAUGCAGAAAUACAUGUAAUUUUUUUGAUGUUUUUUCUUCAAUAUUUCUUCAAUGGCCUAGUUCAGGAGCACUUUUCUAAAUUUGCAAAACAAUUUUAUUAAUAAAAGAUACGGCUUUUUCUGAAUAAAUAAAGGAGUAAACUAUGAAUUCUCAUAGACACUCUUUAGUCAGCAAGGAUCAAGUUAGUUAUACCUUGAUUACCACUGUUUUCAUUGCUAUGUGCUGAUUGAGACAAAAGUUGCACUGUGAAUAAGUAACAAUAAUUGAUAGAUGAGCUUCAAUCAAAUAAAUCUAUUGCCCAUUGACCCGU